rnacentral:tRNA from 2 species
GCGCCACUAGCUCAACGGAUAGAGUGCCUGACUACGAAUCAGUAGGUUGUGGGUUCGAAUCCCGCGUGGCGCACCA